UUGUCUCAAAGAUUAAGCCAUGCAUGUCUCAGUACAAGCCAUAUUAAGGUGAAACCGCGAAAGGCUCAUUAAAUCAGUUAUGGUUCCUUAGAUCGUACCCACAUUUACUUGGAUAACUGUGGUAAUUCUAGAGCUAAUACAUGCAAACAGAGCUCCGACCGGAGACGGAAGGAGCGCUUUUAUUAGAUCAAAACCAAUCGGUGGCGGGUUCGCGCUCGUCAUCGUACAACUUGGUGACUCUGAAUAACUUUACGCUGAUCGCAUGGUCUCGCACCGGCGACGCAUCUUUCAAAUGUCUGCCUUAUCAACUGUCGAUGGUAGGUUCUGCGCCUACCAUGGUUGUAACGGGUAACGGGGAAUCAGGGUUCGAUUCCGGAGAGGGAGCCUGAGAAACGGCUACCACAUCCAAGGAAGGCAGCAGGCGCGCAAAUUACCCACUCCCGGCACGGGGAGGUAGUGACGAAAAAUAACGAUACGGGACUCUUCCGAGGCCCCGUAAUCGGAAUGAGUACACUCUAAACCCUUUAACGAGGAUCAAUUGGAGGGCAAGUCUGGUGCCAGCAGCCGCGGUAAUUCCAGCUCCAAUAGCGUAUAUUAAAGUU
rnacentral:rRNA from 1 species